rnacentral:RNase_P_RNA from 1 species
GAAGCUGACCAGACAGUCGCCGCUUCGUCGUCGUCCUCUUCGGGGGAGACGGGCGGAGGGGAGGAAAGUCCGGGCUCCAUAGGGCAGGGUGCCAGGUAACGCCUGGGGGGGAAACCCACGACCAGUGCAACAGAGAGCAAACCGCCGAUGGCCCGCGCAAGCGGGAUCAGGUAAGGGUGAAAGGGUGCGGUAAGAGCGCACCGCGCGGCUGGU